rnacentral:rRNA from 1 species
UCGUACGGGGUCCGUAGCAAUACGGGUCCAGUGGCGGACGGGUGAGUAAAGAAUCGCUAACGUGCCCCGGAACCCGGGAUAGCCGGCCGAAAGGCCGGGUAAUACCGGAUGACGUGGCCCCGCCGCAUGGCGGGGUCCCCAAAGGCGUAAGCCGGUCCGGGCGCGGGCGAUUUCGUAUCAGCUCGUUGGCGGGGUAACGGCCCACCAAGGCGACGACGCGUAGCUGGUCUGAGAGGACGGCCAGCCACAUUGGGACUGAGACACUGCCCAGACUCCUACGGGGGGCUGCAGUAACGAAUCUUCCGCAAUGCCCGCAAGGGUGACGGAGCGACGCCGCGUGGAGGUUAAGUCCCUCGGGAUGUAAACUCCUGUCGGGGGCCACCAAGUUCUGAGGGGCCCCAGAGGAAGGCACGGCUAACUCUGUGCCA